rnacentral:rRNA from 1 species
UACGUAGGGUGCGAGCGUUGCCCGGAUUUACUGGGCGUAAAGGGCGCGUAGGCGGCAAUUCAAGUCAUCUGUGAAAUCUCCGGGCUUAACUCGGAACGGUCAGAUGAUACUGCUUUGCUAGAGUGCGGAAGGGGCAAUCGGAAUUCUUGGUGUAGCGGUGAAAUGCGUAGAUAUCAAGAGGAACACCUGAGGUGAAGACGGGUUGCUGGGCCGACACUGACGCUGAGGCGCGAAAGCCAGGGGAGCAAACGGG